UGCCAGCAGCCGCGGUAACACGGGGGGCGCAAGCGUUAUUCGGAAUUAUUGGGCGUAAAGGGUGCGUAGGCGGCGUUAUAAGUCAGAGGUGAAAUCCCACAGCUUAACUGUGGAACUGCCUUUGAUACUGCAAUGCUUGAAUCAGGUUGAGGUCGGCGGAAUGUGUUGUGUAGCGGUGAAAUGCAUAGAUAUGACAUAGAACACCAAUUGCGAAGGCAGCUUACUAAGCUACGAUUGACGCUGAGGCACGAAAGCGUGGGGAGCGAACAGGAUUAGAUA
rnacentral:rRNA from 1 species